rnacentral:rRNA from 1 species
AACCCAAAGGACUUGGCGGUACCUUAGAUCCCCCUAGAGGAGCCCGUUCUAUAACCGAUGAUCCUCGUUAAACCUCACCAUCCCUUGUAAAUCCAGCCUAUAUACCGCCGUCGUCAGCUUACCUUGUGAAGGAUUAGUAGUAAGCUUAAUGGGUAUAGCCCAGAACGUCAGGUCGAGGUGUAGCUAAUGGGGUGGGAAGAAAUGGGCUACANNUCC